ACAUUUCAGUGCUAGAAAUUGUCUUUCCCUGUCCUCCCACCGCUCCCUUGCCCUUUUUCUACUUCCCCAUCUUACCGUAGUCCUGGGGGACUCCUUUUGUCCCCCAAGGAGUAAAAUUACAGUCAAGGCCAAGGAAGCAUUUUUAUUCACUUUCUAACUGGAGUUUGCCUCCUACAAAGGAGGCUGGUCCUUUAAAAAAAAAAAAAAUAGAGCAGGGCAAGAGGGCGCGGCCGAGGGAUCAGGCUUUUUUCCGGGAAAGUUACCCGAAGGCCAGCUAUAUGGCAUCCUGGGAUUUGCAGUUCCUUUUCGGGACUCUCUCCCUUGGUAAUUCCUUGAUCAUGAGGCCGAGAUGGACUACAACUCCCAGAGGGCCAAGCGGCGGCAGCGGGGUCCUGUACUCUGGCUGUGGCUGGGCGGCUAGUUCAAGUUGCCAUAGCUGCGAGUCUGGGGAGAGCACAGUCGGUUGAGUCGCUGCGUUUGGUCAGUUGCACCUUCUGGGUCACUGGUAGCCGCGGGAGCCGGGUGGGGCCUAGGCGAUGAUCCGGCAUUAAGGAGCUGGGAUCAUCCUCCGUCUCAGGUGGUUUGGGGAAAGUGUAGGGGCAACCAAAGAUCAUCUGCUUGACUAGGCCCUUUGCCCUGAACCUCAUGAAGAAAUGAUAGGAGGCAGACAUAUGUGCCUAAAAAGAGCAUUGAGCUCAGAGAAGAGCAACUCGGAGUUUUGGGGGUGUGCUUCGAGUUCCAUCAGAUGCAGGAGUUUGAACAUCUUUUAUUGCUCACAGUAACUUAACUUUAUAGCUGAAGUCUUUGUGUGUGUGUACUAGUGAAACUCAUGCCGGAACGUGUGAUUCUGUCUUAGUAAAAGUAUGUAAUCCUAGUGGUGGAUUUGUGUACAUCAAUGGCAGAAUCAUCCAGCGAAUCAGAUCACUUCCGCUGUCGUGACCGAUUGAGUCCAUGGGCUGCCAGAUCAACGCACAGGGGAGCUCGAAGUCUUCCUACAGUAGAAGUUACCGAGAAGGUCAACACUAUAACAAGUACUUUACAGGAUACCAGUCGGAACCUGCGACAAGUGGACCAGAUGCUUGGACGAUACCGAGAAUACAGUAAUGGACAGGCGGGUGCGAUAGAACAUUUAAAAGAAAGCUUGGAACAAUCAAUCGACCAACUCCGGAGUCAACGUUUAUUGAGAAACUCAGGAGGGAGAAGUAUUUCUGUUACAAGUUUGAGUGCAAGUGACCUUGAUGGUGGCACUGGGUCAGAUAUCCAUCGUUUUCCACCUACCUCACCUCUCAAGGACUAUGGGGAUCCACAGGGUAUUAAACGAAUGAGAUCAAGAACUGGUGUCCGGUUUGUUCAAGAGACUGAUGAUAUGACUCAGCUUCAUGGUUUUCAUCAGUCUCUUCGAGAUCUCAGCAGUGAACAAAUUCGCCUUGGAGAUGAUUUCAACAGGGAGCUUUCCAGAAGGAGCCGGUCAGAUGCCGAAACAAAAAGGGCUUUGGAAGAAUUGACUGAAAAACUUAAUGAAGCCCAGAAACAAGAAGUGGUUUCAGAUCGGGUGGAGCGGCGGCUUCAGGAACUGGAGAGAGAGAUGCGCACAGAAAGGGAGCUGGUGGAAAGACGCCAGGAUCAACUGGGACUCAUGUCCCUGCAGCUACAGGAGGCACUAAAGAAACAAGAAGCUAAAGCAGAUGAGCAUGAGGGGGCAAUAAAAAAUAAGCUAAGACAAACUGAAACUGAGAAGAAUCAACUUGAACAGGAAUUGGAGCUAUCUCGAAGGUUAUUGAAUCAAUCAGAAGGCAGCCGAGAAACACUUUUGCAUCAGGUAGAAGAACUGCGUACACAACUUACGAAAGCAGAAGGUGAUCGAAAGGGUUUACAGCAUCAAGUAUCUCAGAUUUCCAAGCAACAGUCAAACUAUCAGGAUGAACAAGGGGAGGACUGGAGAUUUAGGAGAGGGGUUGAGCGGGAAAAGCAGGACCUGGAGAAGCAAAUGUCAGAUUUGAGAGUGCAGCUGAACUUCAGUGCAAUGGCAUCUGAGUUAGAGGAAGUGAAACGGUGCAUGGAGAGAAAAGACAAGGAGAAAGCACAUUUGGCAUCACAAGUAGAGAAUUUAACACGUGAACUGGAGAAUGGGGAAAAACAGCAACUGCAGAUGUUGGAUCGACUUAAGGAGAUCCAGAAUCACUUUGACACAUGUGAGGCCGAGCGUAAGCAUGCUGACCUUCAGAUCUCAGAGCUGACUCGCCAUGCGGAGGAUGCAACCAAGCAGGCUGAGCGGUACCUCAGUGAGCUCCAGCAGUCAGAGGCUCUGAAAGAGGAGGCGGAGAAGAGGAGGGAAGACCUGAAACUGAAAGCUCAAGAAUCCAUUAGGCAGUGGAAGCUUAAGUAUAAGAAGUUAGAGCGAGCGUUGGAGAAACAAUCUGAAACUGUUGAUGAACUGACAGGCAAGAAUAAUCAGAUUUUAAAAGAAAAGGAUGAAUUGAAAACCCAGCUGUAUGCAGCAUUACAACAAAUAGAGAAUCUUCGAAAGGAAUUGAAUGAUGUCCUAACAAAGCGUGCCCUUCAGGAGGAGGAGCUUCACUCCAAGGAGGAGAAAUUACGUGAUAUUAAGUCUCAUCAAGCUGACCUUGAAUUGGAAGUUAAGAAUUCCCUGGAUACCAUCCAUAGACUGGAAAGCGAAUUGAAAAAGCAGAGUAAGAUCCAAAGCCAGAUGAAAGUUGAGAAAGCUCACUUGGAGGAAGAAAUUGCAGAGCUCAAGAAGAGCCAGGCCCAGGACAAAGCUAAACUUCUUGAGAUGCAAGAGUCCAUCAAGGACCUGAGUGCCAUCCGAGCAGAUCUUGCUAAUAAAUUGGCCGAGGAAGAGAGAGCCAAGAAAGCAGUGCUUAAGAACCUUUCUGACCUCACUGCACAGGCAAAAUCCAGGGAUGAAGAAACAGCUACAAUCAUUACACAGUUAAAGCUGGAAAGAGAUGUGCACCAGAGGGAGCUGAAAGAUCUCACAUCAUCAUUGCAGAGUGUGAAAACAAAACACGAACAGAAUAUCCAGGAGCUUAUGAAGCACUUUAAGAAAGAAAAGAGUGAGGCUGAGAAUCAUAUCAGGACUCUGAAGGCUGAAAGUUUAGAAGAGAAGAAUAUGGCUAAAAUUCAUCGUGGUCAGCUGGAGAAGUUGAAAUCACAGUGUGACAGACUGACAGAGGAAUUAACCCAGAAUGAAAAUGAGAACAAAAAACUGAGGCUAAAAUAUCAAUGUUUGAAGGAUCAACUAGAAGAAAGGGAAAAACAUAUAAGCAUUGAAGAGGAGCACUUAAGGAGGAUCGAAGAGGCCAGAUUGCAGCUCAAGGAUCAACUUCUUUGCUUGGAGACUGAACAGGAAUCCAUUCUUGGUGUGAUAGGAAAGGAAAUUGAUGCAGCUUGUAAAACAUUCUCCAAGGACUCAGUGGAGAAAUUAAAAGUUUUUUCAUCUGGUCCUGAUAUACAUUAUGACCCACAUCGCUGGUUAGCAGAAAGCAAGACUAAACUUCAGUGGCUCUGUGAGGAACUGAAAGAGAGAGAAAACAGAGAGAAAAAUCUGCGACAACAGCUGAUGCUCUGCAGACAACAACUCAGGAAUUUGACUGAAAACAAGGAAUCUGAGUUGCAGUGUCUCUUUCAACAGAUAGAAAGGCAGGAGCAGCUUCUGGAUGAAAUACAUCGUGAGAAGAGAGAUCUACUGGAAGAGACCCAAAGAAAAGAUGAAGAAAUGGGAUCUCUGCAGCCGAAGCUACUGUUUAAACUUCCACCUUGGGAAGAUGCUAGUCAGACUGCAGUGAGAAAUCAGAGUGAAGCUCAAUUUGAAGAAAAACCAGACCGUGUAAUUGCAUUAGAAACGGUAAGUUGGGGCAUUUUCUUUCUCCUUUUAUCAGAAUUACUGCUGUCUCCUGAUGUGGAUUUCACAGCACACCAAAGGAAACAGUUUCAGAAAUCAUUUCUAAAACUACAUCUAAGAUGUCAAAGGGGAAAACAAGCUAAACUGUAUAUAAAAGAGUACCCGAGUGGCCUUGGACCAUCUGGAGUCUGUGCCUGAGAAACUGAGCCUACUAGAAGAUUUCAAAGACUUCAGAGAUUCCUGCAGUUCAUCUGAGAGAACUGUUGGAAGAUAUUGCAAAUACAGGGUUCACAGAAAUUCUCUUCAGCAUCACCAAGAUGACACCAAGUACAGAACCAAAAGUUUCAAAGGUGACAGAACCUUUCUGGAAGGUUCCCACACUCAUGGGUUAGAUCACUCAUCCUCUUGGCAGGAUCACAGUCGCUUCCUGUCUAGUCCAAGAUUUUCAUACAUGAACUCAUUUACCAAAAGAACUGUUGCUCCAGAUUCAGCUUCAAACAAGGAAGAUGCCACAAUGAAUGGAACAAGUUCACAACCCAAAAAAGAGGAAUAUGAGAGCUAAAAAAGCAAAUGUAAUCUGUUAUUUUACAUGAGUGUGUUACAAAUAAUAACAUCUCUAUUCUUACAGCAAUUUGGCCCAGAUUAUCUAACAGACAUACCUGCAGCUUUGGCUCUUUGGUAUUGCCAAACAUUGACAAAAGUGACAAUACUGUUGUUCCUUGUGAAUGGUAAACCAAUCCACAUAAUAUCAGAUCAUGAAUGAUGUGCAGCUAAUUUAUUUGCAACUUAUACUAGCACAGAAAGAAUGAUAUUUUUUCACUUUGUAUUUUCCUUUUUCAAGUGUGGUCAGUCACAUUUUCCCAACCAAAAUUUGGAUUUCUAAUUGAGGCCUUUUAAAAAUUACUGGCUAAAAAGAAGGAAAAUGAGUUUCCCUUGAGGCAAAAGUUGCCAGCACUUUAGAUUCAGGGAGCAUUUAUAUACAACUGAUUUUUUGAAAAAUGCUUUCUCCUAAUAAAUUAUCAUGUGUUAUAACAUGUCGUGGAGAUGUGCAUAUAUAACAUUAGACAGUCCACUUUAUAAAUGCUCAGGACUUUUAUAUCUAUCAUCUUAACAGUCCACAACUACAUACAGUAGCUGAACAUUAUUUCCAGUCAUCCAUUUUUAAUAGCAAUAAAGAAUUCAUAAAUGAUAUCUGAACUGUAGAGCACUGUAAAGAAUUCAUAGCACAAUUUAUUUAUUUGUCUUUUUGUGGCCAAAUAUCCUACUGUGAUCACUUCAGUCAUAUCCUGGACCGUCUUUGGUUUACUGUGACUAAAAUCAUAGCACCAAACUCCUUUGUCCAUGAGAUUUAUAUAUAAUCUUGUAUAAUUUGGUACUAUCUGCUUCUACCAUCCCAACUUUUUUCAUCAAAGUGUCUAAGAACGUAUUCCCUUUACACGCUGAUCUCCUAGUGGCGAAGGAUUUAUAUUAAAUGCUAAGUAAUAGUAAACUUUCAGGAACUGAAUCCUAUUGGGUCAUGGAUUCUGCAUAGACAAGGGCAAUAAAGCAAUACCUUUGUAAUAUGCA